GACGAACGCUGGCGGCGUGCUUAACACAUGCAAGUCGAACGGAAAGGCCCUGCUUUUGUGGGGUGCUCGAGCGGCGAACGGGAGAGUAACACGUGAGUAACCUACCCUCGACUUUGGGAUAACUUCAGGAAACUGGGGCUAAUACCGGAUAGGAGCUCCUGCUGCAGGGUGGGGGGUGGAAAGUUUCGGCGGUUGGGGAUGGACUCGCGGCUUAUCCGCUUGUUGGUGGGGUAGUGGCUUACCAAGGCUUCGACGGGUAGCCGGCCUGGGAGGGUGACCGGCCACAUUGGGACUGAGAUAGCGCCCAGACUCCAACGUGAGGAAGCAGUGGGGAAUAUUGCACGAUGGGCGGAGGCCUGAUGCAGGAACGCCGCGUGCGGGAUGACGGCCUUCGGGUUGUAAACCGCUUUGGCCUGUGACGAAGCGUGAGUGACGGUAAUGGGUAAAGAAGCACCGGCUAACUACGUG
rnacentral:rRNA from 1 species